rnacentral:rRNA from 1 species
GGAGUUUGGACCGUGUCUCAGUUCCAAUGUGGGGGACCUUCCUCUCAGAACCCCUACUGAUCGCAGGCUUGGUGGGCCGUUACCCCGCCAACAACCUAAUCAGACGCAUCCCCAUCCUAUAGCGGUAAACCUUUGGUAUUCAUCUGAUGUCAUCAAAAUACAACAUAGGGUAUUAAUCCGCAUUUCGCCGGGCUGUGCCCUACUAAGGGGAAGGUUGGAUACGCGUUACUCACCCGUGCGCCGGUCGCCAUCUAUCAAAGCAAGCUCCGAUAAUGAUGCCCCUCGACUUGCAUGUGUUAAGCCUGUAGCUAGCGUUCAUC